CGGGCUGAGGGCGGCCCCUGGCGGCGCUGCGAGCCGGAGCCGCCAACGGGGAGCGGGACCGGAGCGCCCACGGCUCGGCUGGCGGGCGCGGGCACCCUCCCUUGUGCUCGCAGGGAGGUGGGGUUUCUUUUUUUUCCCCCCCCAAAACCCUCCGUUUUGCUACAGGCUGCUGGAAGAUCUAACGCCGGAGUAGCGGUCCCCUGGGUGGUGCACAGCUGGAGGCCCAGGGGGUGCUGCAUCCAUCGCUGCUCUACUGGGGACAGCAUUAAUGCGGUGAGAGGACCGUAGGAACGCCACAGGUCACGGCUCGUUUGUCUCAUCUCUUGCUAUCAAGAGCCUUCUAGGCCAAAAGGAGCAUGAUAUGUUUGCUAAUUCAGGGAAAACUGAAGAAGAGUAAGAAGAAUAAAAAGAAAACUUCCAAGAAGAUCUGAAAGAGAACAGGAGCUGCCCAGCCAUAGGUAAAGUCCAUGAAGGUAUUUUGGAAAAUUCCAGACCGAGCUGUAAGAAUUAGGAAUUUACAUCCUACUGAAAAGAAGUGUCAGGUGAAAAGGUAGGCUAAAGAUGAUGGUAAGCAUUGCUGUCUGAAGCAUCAGUCACUUUGCAGGAAAAUACAACACAGCCUUAAUUAGUGAGAAUUGAUACAGUGAUGAUGUCCAUGUUUAGAAAGCUGUUCAUCGUAAACAGAUGCGUUUUAAUUUUACGAUAUGGUUCUCAACUUCUAAGAAACAGCACACAAGUGAGUUUUUAAGAACAGAGAUGUUCUCUUGCAUGGUCCUCAUAAAACUGUCAUGCCUCAAAUUAAGGGACUUGGUUCUGUACCAAAACAGUAAUUAAAAGCCAAUACUAGACAAUACACAUUGUUUUGUUUAUGACCACGAAGCUUUUCUAUGGUAUGAAUGUCAGCAGAAGCAAAAAUCCUCACUCUUCUAUUGCUGUUUUGUUAUCCUGGGAAUUCUACUUCCAAAUUUAGUUCACGCAGUUAUUGCAUAUGCUACUUUGUAUUAAAAGUUCAGUAUAAAACAAGACAAAAGCAAUAAAAUCAAAUAGUUCAGUCUCAUAAGUCAGGCAUCCUCUCACUUUGACUUGAGUAAGAGUUCUUUUCCUGUUAAACCAGCACGGUGAUUCUUGAAUAGCAGUACAGCUCAAGAUACAUAGUAUAUAUACAUUAAUAACCGAGAACCGAAGCAAAAUCGACUGAUUAUACAUGGG